UGGGGAAUUUUGCACAAUGGGGGAAACCCUGAUGCAGCGACGCCGCGUGAUUUAGAAGGCCUUCGGGUUGUAAAAAUCUUUUCUAUGGGAAGAAAAUGACAGUACCAUAGGAAUAAGGACCGGCUAAUUACGUGCCAGCAGCCGCGGUAAUACGUAAGGUCCGAGCGUUGUCCGGAAUCAUUGGGCGUAAAGGGUACGUAGGCGGGUAAGCAAGUCAGAAGUGAAAUCCUAUAGCUCAACUAUAGUAAGCUUUUAAAACUGCUCAUCUUGUGGUCUGGAAGGGAAAGUGGUAUUCCUAGUGUAGCGGUGAAAUGCGCAGAUAUUAGGAGGAAUACCGGUGGCGAAGGCGACUUUCUGGCCAUAACCUGACGCUGAGGUACGAAAGCGUGGGUAGCAAACAGG
rnacentral:rRNA from 1 species